rnacentral:rRNA from 1 species
AUUGAACGCUGGCGGCAGGCCUAACACAUGCAAGUCGAGCGGAUGAAGGGAGCUUGCUCCUGGAUUCAGCGGCGGACGGGUGAGUAAUUCCUAGGAAUCUGCCUGGUAGUGGGGGAUAACGUCCGGAAACGGGCGCUAAUACCGCAUACGUCCUGAGGGUGAAAGUGGGGGAUCUUCGGACCUCACGCUAUCAGCUGAGCCUAGGUCGGAUUAGCUAGUUGGUGGGGUAAAGGCCUACCAAGGCGACGAUCCGUAACUGGUCUGAGAGGAUGAUCACUCACACUGGAACUGAGACACGGCCCAGACUCCUACGGGAGGCAGCAGUGGGGAAUAUUGGACAAUGGGCGAAGGCCUGACCCAGCCAUGCCGCGUGUGUGAAGAAGGUCUUCGGAUGGUAAAGCACUUUAAGUUGGGAGGAAGGGCAGUAAGUUAAUACCUUGAUGUAUUGACGGUACCAACAGAAUAAGCACCGGCUAACUUCGUG